rfam:Enterococcus aquimarinus strain DSM 17690 Scaffold2, whole genome shotgun sequence.
AAAUGAAAGUAGAAGCACCCGCUUCUCGCCUGAGGGAUCAUAUCGCUGGGCAGAAUAGGAUUUCAGACUAAAUUUAGGCUGAAGUACGCGCGGGUUCUGAUAAAGAACUCGUUUUUUUGUAUUUUA